rnacentral:rRNA from 1 species
GACGAACGCUGGCGGCGUGCUUAACACAUGCAAGUCGAACGAAGUAGCGAACGGGUGAGUAACGCGUAAUCAACCUCCCCUUCAGAGGGGGACAACAGUUGGAAACGACUGCUAAUACCGCAUACUGAAGGAGGGGAUGGCGUCUGAUUAGCUCGGUGGAGGGGUAACGGCCCACAAAGGCGAUGAUCAGUAGCAGGUCUGAGGGGAUGAACGGCCAAAUUGGGAAUGAGACACGGCUCAGACUCCUACGGGAGGCAGCAGUGGGUAAUCUUCCGAAAUGGACGAAAGUCUGACGGAGCAACGCCGCGUGAGUGAUGACGGCCUGCGGGUUGUAAAGCUCUGUUAAUCGGGACGCGGUACCGGAAUAGAAAGCCACGGCUAACUACGUGCCAGCAGCCGCGGUAAUUC